UACGUAGGGUGCGAGCGUUAAUCGGAAUUACUGGGCGUAAAGCGUGCGCAGGCGGUGAUGUAAGACAGUUGUGAAAUCCCCGGGCUCAACCUGGGAAUUGCAUCUGUGACUGCAUCGCUAGAGUACGGUAGAGGGGGAUGGAAUUCCGCGUGUAGCAGUGAAAUGCGUAGAUAUGCGGAGGAACACGAUGGCGAAGGCAAUCCCCUGGACCUGUACUGACGCUCAUGCACGAAAGCGUGGGGAGCAAACAGG
rnacentral:rRNA from 1 species